rnacentral:rRNA from 1 species
AACACGUGGGUAACCUGCCUGUAAGACUGGGAUAACUCCGGGAAACCGGGGCUAAUACCGGAUGGUUGUUUGAACCGCAUGGUUCAAACAUAAAAGGUGGCUUCGGCUACCACUUACAGAUGGACCCGCGGCGCAUUAGCUAGUUGGUGAGGUAAUGGCUCACCAAGGCAACGAUGCGUAGCCGACCUGAGAGGGUGAUCGGCCACACUGGGACUGAGACACGGCCCAGACUCCUACGGGAGGCAGCAGUAGGGAAUCUUCCGCAAUGGACGAAAGUCUGACGGAGCAACGCCGCGUGAGUGAUGAAGGUUUUCGGAUCGUAAAGCUCUGUUGUUAGGGAAGAACAAGUACCGUUCGAAUAGGGCGGUACCUUGACGGUACCUAACCAGAAAGCCACGGCUAACUACGUGCCAGCAGCCGCGGUAAUACGUAGGUGGCAAGCGUUGUCCGGAAUUAUUGGGCGUAAAGGGCUCGCAGGCGGUUUCUUAAGUCUGAUGUGAAAGCCCCCGGCUCAACCGGGGAGGGUCAUUGGAAACUGGGAAACUUGAGUGCAGAAGAGGAGAGUGGAAUUCCACGUGUAGCGGUGAAAUGCGUAGAGAUGUGGAGGAACACCAGUGGCGAAGGCGACUCUCUGGUCUGUAACUGACGCUGAGGAGCGAAAGCGUGGGGAGCGAACAGGAUUAGAUACCCUGUAGUCCACGCCGUAAACGAUGAGUGCUAAGUGUUAGGGGGUUUCCGCCCCUUAGUGCUGCAGCUAACGCAUUAAGCACUCCGCCUGGGGAGUACGGUCGCAAGACUGAAACUCAAAGGAAUUGACGGGGGCCCGCACAAGCGGUGGAGCAUGUUGUUUAAUUCGAAGCAACGCGAAGAACCUUACUAGGUCUUGACAUCCUCUGACAAUCCUAGAGAUAGGACGUCCCCUUCGGGGGCAGAGUGACAGGUGGUGCAUGGUUGUCGUCAGCUCGUGUCGUGAGAUGUUGGGUUAAGUCCCGCAACGAGCGCAACCCUUGAUCUUAGUUGCCAGCAUUCAGUUGGGCACUCUAAGGUGACUGCCGGUGACAAACCGGAGGAAGGUGGGGAUGACGUCAAAUCAUCAUGCCCCUUAUGACCUGGGCUACACACGUGCUACAAUGGACAGAACAAAGGGCAGCGAAACCGCGAGGUUAAGCCAAUCCCACAAAUCUGUUCUCAGUUCGGAUCGCAGUCUGCAACUCGACUGCGUGAAGCUGGAAUCGCUAGUAAUCGCGGAUCAGCAUGCCGCGGUGAAUACGUUCCCGGGCCUUGUACACACCGCCCGUCACACCACGAGAGUUUGUAACACCCGAAGUCGGUGAGGUAACCUUUUAGGAGCCAGCCGCCGAAGGUGGGACAGAUGAUUGGGGUGAAGUCGUAACAAGGUAGCCGUAUCGGAAGGUGCGGCUG